rnacentral:rRNA from 1 species
UACGUAGGCAGCGAGCGUUGUUCGGAUUUACUGGGCGUAAAGGGCGCGUAGGCGGUCGUGACAAGUCACUUGUGAAAUCUCCGGGCUUAACUCGGAACGGUCAAGUGAUACUGUCGGACUAGAGUACAGAAGGGGCAACUGGAAUUCUCGGUGUAGCGGUGAAAUGCGUAGAUAUCGAGAGGAACACCUGCGGCGAAGGCGGGUUGCUGGGCUGAUACUGACGCUGAGGCGCGAAAGCCAGGGGAGCGAACGGG